rnacentral:rRNA from 1 species
GGGUAACGGAGUGUUAGGGCACGACACCGGAGAGGGAGCCUGAGAAACGGCUACCACAUCCAAGGAUGGCAGCAGGCGCGCAAAUUACCCAAUCCCGACACGGGGAGGUAGUGACAAUAAAUAACAAUACGGGGUUCUUUCGGAUCUCGUAAUUGGAAUGAGUACAAUUUAAAUCUCUUAACGAGGGACAAUUGGAGGGCAAGUCUGGUGCCAGCAGCCGCGGUAAUUCCAGCUCCAAUAGCGUAUAUUAAAGUUGUUGCAGUUAAAAAGCUCGUAGUUGAAUUUCGGGGUUAGUAGGUUGGUCAUGCCUCUGGUAUGUACUGGUCUCACUGAUUCCUCCUUCCUGAUGAACCGUAAUGCCAUUAAUUUGGUGUUGCGGGGAAUUUGGACUGUUACCUUGAAAAAAUUAGAGUGUUUAAAGCAAGCUAACGCUUGAAUGCAUUAGCAUGGAAUAAUGAAAUAGGACGUUCGAUCCUAUUUUGUUGGUUUCUAGGAUUGACGUAAUGAUUAAUAGGGAUAGUUGGGGGCAUUAGUAUUCAAUUGUCAGAGGUGAAAUUCUUGGAUUUAUUGAAGACUAACCACUGCGAAAGCAUUUGCCAAGGAUGUUUUCAUUAAUCAAGAACGAAAGUUAGGGGAUCGAAGACGAUCAGAUACC